rnacentral:rRNA from 1 species
GUGGGGAAUCUUGCGCAAUGGGCGCAAGCCUGAUCCAGCCAUACCGCGUGGGUGAAGAAGGCCUUCGGGUUGUAAAGCCCUUUUGUUGGGAAAGAAAUCCUGUCGGUUAAUACCUGGCGGGGAUGACGGUACCCAAAGAAUAAGCACCGGCUAACUUCGUGCCAGCAGCCGCGGUAAUACGAAGGGUGCAAGCGUUACUCGGAAUUACUGGGCGUAAAGCGUGCGUAGGUGGUGGUUUAAGUCCGUUGUGAAAGCCCUGGGCUCAACCUGGGAAUUGCAGUGGAUACUGGAUCACUAGAGUGUGGUAGAGGGAUGCGGAAUUUCUGGUGUAGCAGUGAAAUGCGUAGAGAUCAGAAGGAACAUCCGUGGCGAAGGCGGCAUCCUGGGCCAACACUGACACUGAGGCACGAAAGCGUGGGGAGCAAACAGGAUUAGAUACCCUUGUAGUCC